GACGAACGCUGGCGGCGUGCUUAACACAUGCAAGUCGAACGGAAAGGCCCUGCUUUUGUGGGGUGCUCGAGUGGCGAACGGGUGAGUAACACGGGAGUAACCUGCCCUUGACUUUGGGAUAACUUCAGGAAACUGGGGCUAAUACAGGAUAGGAGAUCCUGCUGCAUGGUGGGGGUUGGAAAGUUUCGGCGGUUGGGGAUGGACUCGCGGCUUAUCAGCUUGUUGGUGGGGUAGUGGCUUACCAAGGCUUUGACGGGUAGCCGGCCUGGGAGGGUGACCGGCCACAUUGGGACUGAGAUACGGCCCAGACUCCUACGGUAGGCAGCAGUGGAGAAUAUUGCACAAUGGGCGGAAGCCUGAUGCAGCAACGCCGCGUGCGGGAUGACGGCCUUCGUGUUGUAAACCGCUUUCGCCUGUGACGAAGCGUGAGUGACGGUAAUGGGUAAAGAAGCACCGGCUAACUACGUG
rnacentral:rRNA from 1 species